GAUGAACGCUAGCUACAGGCUUAACACAUGCAAGUCGAGGGGCAGCAUUGGAGUAGCAAUACUUCAGAUGGCGACCGGCGCACGGGUGAGUAACACGUAUCCAACCUGCCGCUUACUCGGGGAUAGCCUUUCGAAAGAAAGAUUAAUACCCGAUGGUAUAAAGAGUUCGCAUGUUCUCUUUAUUAAAGAAUUUCGGUAAGCGAUGGGGAUGCGUUCCAUUAGAUAGUUGGCGGGGUAACGGCCCACCAAGUCUACGAUGGAUAGGGGUUCUGAGAGGAAGGUCCCCCACAUUGGAACUGAGACACGGUCCAAACUCCUACGGGAGGCAGCAGUGAGGAAUAUUGGUCAAUGGACGAGAGUCUGAACCAGCCAAGUAGCGUGAAGGAUGACUGCCCUAUGGGUUGUAAACUUCUUUAUAAGGGAAUAAAGUGAGGGACGUGUCCCUUUUUGUAUGUACCUUAUGAAUAAGGAUCGGCUAACUCCGUGCCAGCAGCCGCGGUAAUACGGAGGAUCCAAGCGUUAUCCGGAUUUAUUGGGUUUAAAGGGAGCGUAGGUUGACAUAUAAGUCAGCUGUGAAAGUUUACGGCUCAACCGUGAAAUUGCAGUUGAUACUGUAUGUCUUGAGUGUACAAGAGGUGGGCGGAAUUCGUGGUGUAGCGGUGAAAUGCUUAGAUAUCACGAAGAACUCCAAUUGCGAAGGCAGCUCACUGGGGUACAACUGACACUGAGGCUCGAAAGUGUGGGUAUCAAACAGGAUUAGAUACCCUGGUAGUCCACACAGUAAACGAUGAAUACUCGCUGUUUGCGAUAUACAGUAAGCGGCCAAGCGAAAGCAUUAAGUAUUCCACCUGGG
rnacentral:rRNA from 1 species